rnacentral:rRNA from 1 species
AUUGAACGCUGGCGGCAGGCCUAACACAUGCAAGUCGAGCGGAUGAAGGGAGCUUGCUCCUGGAUUCAGCGGCGGACGGGUGAGUAAUGCCUAGGAAUCUGCCUGGUAGUGGGGGAUAACGUCCGGAAACGGGCGCUAAUGCCGCAUACGUCCUGAGGGAGAAAGUGGGGGAUCUUCGGACCUCACGCUAUCAGAUGAGCCUAGGUCGGAUUAGCUAGUUGGUGGGGUAAAGGCCUACCAAGGCGACGAUCCGUAACUGGUCUGAGAGGAUGAUCAGUCACACUGGAACUGAGACAUGGUCCAGACUCCUACGGGAGGCAGCAGUGGGGAAUAUUGGACAAUGGGCGAAAGCCUGAUCCAGCCAUGCCGCGUGUGUGAAGAAGGUCUUCGGAUUGUAAAGCACUUUAAGUUGGGAGGAAGGGCAGUAAGUUAAUACCUUGCUGUUUUGACGUUACCAACAGAAUAAGCACCGGCUAACUUCGUG